rnacentral:rRNA from 1 species
CAGGGGGGGCAAGCGUUGUUCGGAAUUACUGGGCGUAAAGGGUCUGUAGGUGGCCAACUAAGUCAGACGUGAAAUCCCUCAGCUUAACUGGGGAACUGCGUCUGAUACUGGAUGGCUUGAGUGUGGGAGAGGAAUGCGGAAUUCCAGGUGUAGCGGUGAAAUGCGUAGAUAUCUGGAGGAACACCGGUGGCGAAGGCGGCAUUCUGGACCAUAACUGACACUGAGAGACGAAAGCCAGGGGAGCAAACGGGAUUAGAUACCCCGGUAGUCCUGGCCCUAAACGAUGAAUGCUUGGUGUAACGGGUAUCGAUCCCUGUUGUGCCGAAGCUAACGCAUUAAGCAUUCCGCCUGGGGAGUACGGUCGCAAGGCUG